GAUCAAAAUGGCAAAUUCCAAAUUAAAACUUACUGUCAAAGACCAAGCCGAAAAACUCAACCAGUAUGAGAAAGACUUGUCAAGUGCAAGUUUCGUGCAGAAAUCUCUGGAAGAUCAGUUAGCAGAGACUAUAAAAUGUAAAAGGAUGAUGGAAGACCGCAUGCAAAGCCUUGAAAAAGAAAAUUCAAAAAUGAAAGUAAACUUUGGAAAGGCACUGGACUGCAUUGAGAAGU